ACGGAAGGCAGCAGUGGGGAAUAUUGGACAAUGGGCGCAAGCCUGAUCCAGCGACGCCGCGUGAGCGAUGAAGUAUUUCGGUAUGUAAAGCUCUAUCAGCAGGGAAGAAAACGACGGUACCUGACUAAGAAGCUCCGGCUAAAUACGUGCCAGCAGCCGCGGUAAUACGUAUGGAGCAAGCGUUAUCCGGAUUUACUGGGUGUAAAGGGGGCGUAGACGGAAGUACAAGUCAGAAGUGAAAGCCCGGGGCUCAACCCCGGGACUGCUUUUGAAACUGUACAUCUAGAGUGCAGGAGAGGUAAGCGGAAUUCCUAGUGUAGCGGUGAAAUGCGUAGAUAUUAGGAGGAACACCAGUGGCGAAGGCGGCUUACUGGACUGUAACUGACGUUGAGGCCCGAAAGCGUGGGGAGCAAACAGGAUUAGAUACCCUGGUA
rnacentral:rRNA from 1 species